UCAUUAAUGUACUGUCUAUACAACAGAAAAUUUGUCAUUUUAAAAAGUUUUAAAAAUGCUAAGUUAUUAGAUAAAAUGGGACAAAUAUUACACAAUAAUUACACAAUAAUGUAGUCCUAAUUUAAGUAAUGUAAAAAAAUUAUAUUAAAAAAAAGUUCAUCCCAUCCAGGUAACAGCUGCAGAACAAGUUAAAAAAAAAUAAAUAAAAAUAAAUAAAUAAAUAAAUAAAUAAAAGACUGAUAAUAAAUAAUUAUAACUAAUCAAAUUUAAAAUAACAAUAUUAAUGUGGUCUGUUGCAAGUUUACAUAACCUACUUGAGUAUGUUUUCUCAUGGUUUAUUGUUGAGCUAUGAGGUCCUCACUGAUUAUUUGUGUCCUUGGUGUUUUUUGUCUGUUUGGUUGUUUGUUUUUUUGAUGAAACAGCCAUACUAUGAUUAUAAGGGCACCUCUGGAAACACCUUUUAUGGCCCCUUUAAAUUAAUGUGACUUUCAAAGUAUAUUAAGCAUACUAAUACUGCUUAUUACACCAAUACAGAAGUAGCCUAUAGUUAAUGUUUCAUGGAUUAUUAUGUGUAACACAUUGAGCCGGUAUAAUGUGCCACAAGAUGGCAGUGUUCUCAGAGAUUCACUAUAACUGCAGCAUUGAACAUCAGAAUUUAAUUUAUAGAACUAAACUUGGGUAUUAAGUAACUCAGAGAGGAGGGACUCAGUGUUCACAGAUCUGACAUGAUCUAAUCGUGUCUCACAGAGACAUUCAUUCUGUCUCUUCUCAGAGUGAACACUUGUACAAUGGAUCUUCAUUCAGUUAUUCUGUUUUGUGCCUCAGCAGCUGCGGUCUUUGGAAAUGUCAUCAAACCAAACAACACCGAUGUUGUUUAUAAGGAGGGUUCAAGUGUUACAUUAUUCUGUAGUCAUUCACCUGCAGCUAACGAUUAUAUCCACUGGUACCGUCAGUAUGAAAGAUCAAAACCUGAAUUUCUUGUACUCAUCUACAGUAGUGCAAAAGAAGCUGAGGUGUCUGAUGUAGAUCCAAGAUUCUCUGUUAAAGUUGAAAAAAGGGAGAAAAUCCAUGUGGAUCUGAAGAUCACCACUGCUGCUGUAUCAGACUCUGCUCUGUACUAUUGUGCUCUGCAGCCCACAGUGACAGGAAACACAAGAACACUGUACAAAAACCUGAUACACACCACUGCAUCUACAUAACACAUAUCCAACCUUCAUAUCUGCUAUAGUUUACAUAAGGAAACACUCUUCUAAUCAGCAAAAAGUAGUAUUAUAUACAUGGAUUGUCAUUCAUAACAUUAAAAGUCAUAACAGAAAAGGAGACUUACAAACAUUCACUUAAAAGAUGUUACACUUAAAAGAAGAAGAUAUCAAACUCAUAAAAUCAUAAAAAUCAACUUUAGAUGCAUUUAUUCAAUUACUUCAUUCUUACAUUAU
rnacentral:lncRNA from 1 species